rnacentral:tRNA from 1 species
GCCCGCGUAGCUCAGUAGGUAGCAGCGCAUCCAUGGUAAGGAUGAGGUCAUCGGUUCGAUUCCGAUCGCGGGCUCCA